UACGGGGGGAGCAAGCGUUGUUCGGAUUUACUGGGCGUAAAGGGCGCGUAGGCGGUCGUGACAAGUCACUUGUGAAAUCUCCGGGCUUAACUCGGAACGGUCAAGUGAUACUGUCGGACUAGAGUACAGAAGGGGGCAACUGGAAUUCUCGGUGUAGCGGUGAUAUGCGUAGAUAUCGGGAGGAACACCUGUGGCGAAGGCGGCGUUUCUGGGCCGUUACCUGACGCUGGAGACGCGAAAGCGUGGGGAGCGAACAGG
rnacentral:rRNA from 1 species